rnacentral:rRNA from 1 species
GACGAACGCUGGCGGCGUGCUUAACACAUGCAAGUCGAGCGGUAAGGCCCUUUCGGGGGUACACGAGCGGCGAACGGGUGAGUAACACGUGGGUGACCUGCCCUCAGCUCUGGGAUAAGCCUGGGAAACCGGGUCUAAUACUGGAUAUGACUCCAUGACGCAUGUUGUGGGGUGGAAAGCCUUGUGCGGCUGAGGAUGGGCCCGCGGCCUAUCAGCUUGUUGGUGGGGUGAUGGCCUACCAAGGCGACGACGGGUAGCCGGCCUGAGAGGGCGACCGGCCACACUGGGACUGAGACACGGCCCAGACUCCUACGGGAGGCAGCAGUGGGGAAGUCUUGCGCAAUGGGCGAAAGCCUGACGCAGCGACGCCGCGUGAGGGAUGACGGCCUCGGUUGU